rnacentral:rRNA from 1 species
UAUGGGACGAUAAGACCCUAUAGAAUUUUAUAUUAAUUAUAAUUAUUAAAUUAUUUAUUUAAUUUUUAUAUUAAUAUUUAGUUGGGAGGAUUAGUAAAUUUAAUAAACUUUAUUUUGAAUUUAAACUUUGAUUAAAGAAUUUUUUUGAUAUUGUAUUAUAAAUUGAAAAGAAAAAAUUACCUUAGGGAUAACAGCGUAAUAUCUUUUUAAAGAUCAUAUUAAUAAAGAUGUUUGCGACCUCGAUGUUGAAUUAAGAUAAAUUUUAGAUGAAGAAGUUUAAGAAUUAAGUCUGUUCGACUUUUAAAAUCUUACAUGAUUUGAGUUCAAAUCGACGUGAGUCAGAUUGGUUUCUAUCUAUAAAAAAAAAUAAAUUAUUUGUACGAAAGGACUGUAAUUU